UCAGUGAUUUGAAGAAUGACUGAGGAGACCAUUACAUUUGGAGAGCGCUGCAGACAUCUUUAUUACUGUUACUAUCCCCAACAGAUGGAAGAACGCUCUAUGAUGGGGGAUGAAAUUGAAAUUCUAUCCAGUUCUGCAAUGCUUGUUUGAAAAUCAAAUCAAACAUGAGACAUGGCAAUCUGAAUAAAGGCAAACACCUGAGAAAAAAUCCAACCAGGAAGUGGGAAAUCUGAGGUUGGUCGUUUUUCAACUCAUUCCCUAUUGAAGAUACAGUGGGAUAUUGGUCAUGUUGCACUUCCUAAGGCUUCCACUAGAUGUCAACAGUCUUUAGAACCUUGUUUGAUGGUUCUACUGUGAAGAGGAGAGGGGAACGAGUCAGAGGUCUGCCAGGGAGUCAAGAGCUGGUGACACUCGUUCACGUGAGAGCGAGCUCUGUUCCAUUGCAUUUCUACAGACAAAGGAAUUCUCCGGUUGGAACAUUAUUGAACAUUUAUGUUAAAAACAUCCUAAAGAUUGAUUCUAUACAUCGUUUGACAUGUUUCUAUGGACUGUAACGGAACAUUUGGACUUUUCAUCUGCUCCUAGUGAACGCGCGUCAUGAAUUUUGAUUUGUGAAUUGAACGUGCUAACAAAAGGAGCUAUUUGGACAUAACAUGCCAAUGUAUACUAUUUGCCAUAUUUUUUAACUGUGCUGUGAUGUUUCACUAAAGUUCUGAACCUUUCUAUUCUCAUAGACUCUACAGAUUGUAAAUUAAAGAAACAUUUCUGCUAAGAGUAUUAUUAUAUUAUUGAUUGAUUGACUAUGACUUUUUAAAUCACCCAGCAGUGCUAUUA